rnacentral:rRNA from 6 species
AAACUUUCAACAACGGAUCUCUUGGCUCUGGCAUCGAUGAAGAACGCAGCGAAAUGCGAUAAGUAAUGUGAAUUGCAGAAUUCAGUGAACCAUCGAAUCUUUGAACGCACAUUGCGCCCGCCAGCAUUCUGGCGGGCAUGCCUGUUCGAGCGUCAUU